UGGGGGGGUGAGCCUUUAUCAGUCAGGCUGCUGGCUAUCCAUGUCUUGUCUAGUCCUGCAUAUAGCCAAAGCCAGACUGAAUGGUGAUAAAG
rnacentral:pre_miRNA from 7 species